rnacentral:rRNA from 1 species
CCCUUAGAUGUUCUGGGCCGCACGCGCGCUACACUGAUGAAUGCAACGAGCUCUACCCUUGACCGAAAGGCCCGGGUAAACUUGUGAAACUUCAUCGUGAUGGGGAUAGAUUAUUGCAAUUAUUAAUCUUCAACGAGGAAUGCCUAGUAAGCGCAAGUCAUCAGCUUGCGUUGAUUACGUCCCUGCCCUUUGUACACAUCGCCCGUCGCUCCUACCGAUUGAAUGGUCCGGUGAAGCGUUCGGACCGUGGCCUUUGGACGGUUCGCCGUCUGUUGGCUGCGGGAAGUUCGUUAAACCUUAUCAUUUAGAGGAAGGAGAAGUCGUAACA